UACGGAGGUGGCAAGCGUUGUCCGGAAUCAUUGGGCGUAAAGAGCGUGUAGGCGGCCCGGUAAGUCCGCUGUGAAAGUCCAGGGCUCAACCCUGGGAUGCCGGUGGAUACUGUCGGGCUCGAGUCCGGAAGAGGAGUGUGGAAUUCCUGGUGUAGCGGUGAAAUGCGCAGAUAUCAGGAGGAACACCAAUGGCGAAGGCAGCACUCUGGGACGUGACUGACGCUGAGACGCGAAAGCGUGGGGAGCAAAACGG
rnacentral:rRNA from 1 species